UGCACUAACUACUGCAAGUCGCUCUGGAUAAGAGCGUCUGCUAAAUGACUAAAA
rfam:Salmo salar isolate Sally breed double haploid chromosome ssa19, whole genome shotgun sequence.